rnacentral:rRNA from 1 species
UGGGGAAUUUUCCGCAAUGGGCGAAAGCCUGACGGAGCAAUGCCGCGUGGAGGUGGAAGGCCUACGGGUCGUCAACUUCUUUUCUCGGAGAAGAAACAAUGACGGUAUCUGAGGAAUAAGCAUCGGCUAACUCUGUCNCCG